rnacentral:rRNA from 1 species
GAUGAACGCUGGCGGCGUGCCUAAUACAUGCAAGUCGAGCGAACAGACGAGGAGCUUGCUCCUCUGACGUUAGCGGCGGACGGGUGAGUAACACGUGGAUAACCUACCUAUAAGACUGGGAUAACUUCGGGAAACCGGAGCUAAUACCGGAUAAUAUAUUGAACCGCAUGGUUCAAUAGUGAAAGACGGUUUUGCUGUCACUUAUAGAUGGAUCCGCGCCGCAUUAGCUAGUUGGUAAGGUAACGGCUUACCAAGGCAACGAUGCGUAGCCGACCUGAGAGGGUGAUCGGCCACACUGGAACUGAGACACGGUCAAGACUCCGACGGGAGGCAGCAGUAGGGAAUCUUCCGCAAUGGGCGAAAGCCUGACGGAGCAACGCCGCGUGAGUGAUGAAGGUCUUCGGAUCGUAAAACUCUGUUAUUAGGGAAGAACAAAUGUGUAAGUAACUAUGCACGUCUUGACGGUACCUAAUCAGAAAGCCACGGCUAACUACGUG